rnacentral:rRNA from 1 species
UACGGGGGGAGCAAGCGUUACUCGGAAUUACUGGGCGUAAAGCGUGCGUAGGCGGUUCGUUAAGUCUGUCGUGAAAUCCCUCGGCUCAACCAAGGAAGUGCAUCCGAAACUGCUGUGCUUGAGUACUUAAGAGGAUCGCGGAAUUCCCGGUGUAGAGGUGAAAUUCGUAGAUAUCGGGAGGAACACCAGUGGCGAAGGCGGCGAUCUGGGAAGAUACUGACGCUGAGGUGCGAAAGCGUGGGGAGCAAACAGG